AUUGAACGCUGGCGGCAUGCCUUACACAUGCAAGUCGAACGGUAACGGGCCUUCGGGUGCCGACGAGUGGCGAACGGGCGAGUAAUACAUCGGAACGUGCCCGAUCGUGGGGGAUAACGAGGCGAAAGCUUUGCUAAUACCGCAUACGAUCUACGGAUGAAAUCAGGGGACCGCAAGGCCUUGCGCGGGCGGAGCGGCCGAUGGCAGAUUAGGUAGUUGGUGGGAUAAAAGCUUACCAAGCCGACGAUCUGUAGCUGGUCUGAGAGGAUGAUCAGCCACACUGGGACUGAGACACGGCCCAGACUCCUACGGGAGGCAGCAGUGGGGAAUUUUGGACAAUGGGCGCAAGCCUGAUCCAGCCAUGCCGCGUGCAGGAUGAAGGCCUUCGGGUUGUAAACUGCUUUUGUACGGAACGAAAAGCCUUCUUUUAAUACAGGAGGGUCAUGACGGUACCGUAAGAAUAAGCACCGGCUAACUACGUG
rnacentral:rRNA from 1 species